AAACAUAAUGAUGAAAAAAAAUUUUAAUCAAACAGUUAUCCCUGUCUGAAUGGGUAAUAAUAGGUAACCUCUCAUAUGUUGAUAUUUGUAUUUCUGAUAUGUUU
rnacentral:snoRNA from 1 species